rnacentral:rRNA from 1 species
UACGAAGGUCCCAAGCGUUAUCCGGAUUUAUUGGGUUUAAAGGGUGCGUAGGCGGGUUAUUAAGUCAGUGGUGAAAGCCUGCAGCUUAACUGCAGAAUUGCCAUUGAUACUGAUGAUCUUGAGUACGAUUGAGGUGGGCGGAAUGUGUCAUGUAGCGGUGAAAUGCUUAGAUAUGACACAGAACACCGAUUGCGAAGGCAGCUCACUAAGUCAUAACUGACGCUGAUGCACGAAAGCGUGGGGAGCAAACAGG